rnacentral:rRNA from 1 species
GACGAACGCUGGCGGCGUGCUUAACACAUGCAAGUCGAACGAUGAAGAAGAGCUUGCUCUUCGGAUUAGUGGCGAACGGGUGAGUAACACGUGACUAACCUGCCCCUUUCUCUGGGAUAACGCUCCGAAAGGAGUGCUAAUACCGGAUACUCACACCGAGGCACAUGCCUUGGUGUGGAAAGCUUUUCGGAAAGGGAUGGAGUCGCGGCCUAUCAGCUUGUUGGUGAGGUAACGGCUCACCAAGGCGACGACGGGUAGCCGGCCUGAGAGGGCGACCGGCCACACUGGGACUGAGACACGGCCCAGACUCCUACGGGAGGCAGCAGUGGGGAAUAUUGCACGAUGGGCGCAAGCCUGAUGCAGCGACGCCGCGUGAGGGAUGAAGGUCUUCGGAUUGUAAACCUCUUUCAGUAGGGACGAAGCGAAAGUGACGGUACCUAAAGAAGAAGCACCGGCUAACUACGUGCCAGCCGCCGCCGUAA